GACGAACGCUGGCGGCGUGCUUAACACAUGCAAGUGGAGCGACGAACCAGGGCUUGCCCUGGGGCAAAGCCGCGAACGGGUGAGUAACACGUGGGUAACCUGCCCCGAAGACCGGGACAACCCGAGGAAACUCGGGCUAAUACCGGAUGUGGUCACUCUUCAUAAGGAGAGUGAGCAAAGGAAGCUUCGGCCUCCGCUUCGGGAUGGGCCCGCGGCCCAUUAGCUUGUUGGUGAGGUAACGGCUCACCAAGGCUGCGAUGGGUAGCUGGUCUGAGAGGACGAUCAGCCACACUGGGAGUGAGACACGGCGCAGACUCCUACGGGAGGCAGCAGUGGGGAAUCUUGCGCAAUGGGCGACAGCCUGACGCAGCAACGCCGCGUGAGGGAAGAAGGCUUUCGGGUCGUAAACCUCUUUCAGGAGGGACGAAGCUUCGGGAGUGAAUAGCUUUCCGGAGUGACGGUACUUCCACAAGAAGCCCCGGCUAACUACGUGCCAGCCGCCGCCGUAA
rnacentral:rRNA from 1 species